rnacentral:rRNA from 1 species
UCGGGGGUACACUAGCGGCGAACGGGUGAGUACCACGUGAGCAACCUGCCCCCGACUCUGGGAUAAGCCCGGGAAACUGGGUCUAAUACCGGAUAUGACCACUCCAGGCAUCUGGGGGGGGGGGAAAGUUUUGCGGUGGGGGAUGGGCUCGCGGCCUAUCAGCUUGUUGGUGGGGUGAUGGCCUACCAAGGCGACGACGGGUAACCGGCCUGAGAGGGCGACCGGUCACACUGGGACUGAGACACGGCCCAGACUCCUACGGGAGGCAGCAGUGGGGAAUAUUGCGCAAUGGGCGGAAGCCUGACGCAGCGACGCCGCGUGGGGGAUGACGGCCUUCGGGUUGUAAACCCCUUUCAGCAGGGACGAAGCGAACGUGACGGUACCUGCAGAAGAAGCGCCGGCUAACUACGUGCCAGCAGCCGCGGUAAUACGUAGGGCGCAAGCGUUGUCCGGAAUUAUUGGGCGUAAAGAGCUCGUAGGCGGUUUGUCGCGUCGGUCGUGAAAGCCCGCGGCUUAACCGUGGGUCUGCGGUGGAUACGGGCAGACUAGAGGCAGGUAGGGGAGAAUGGAAUUCCCGGUGUAGCGGUGAAAUACGCAGAUAUCGGGCGGAACACCGGUGGCGAAGGCGGUUCUUCUGGGCCGGUACUGA